CCAGACUCCUACGGGAGGCAGCAGUCGGGAAUAUUGCGCAAUGGAGGAAACUCUGACGCAGUGACGCCGCGUAUAGGAAGAAGUUUUUCGGAAUGUAAACUAUUGCCGUUAGGGAAGAGAAAGGACAGUACCUAAGGAGGAAGCCACGGCUAACUACGUGCCAGCAGCCGCGGUAAUACGUAGGUGGCAAGCGUUAUCCGGAUUUAUUGGGUGUAAAGGGCGUGUAGGCGGGAAAGCAAGUCAGAUGUGAAAACUCAGGGCUCAACCCUGAGCCUGCAUUUGAAACUGUUUUUCUUGAGUGCUGGAGAGGCAAUCGGAAUUCCGUGUGUAGCGGUGAAAUGCGUAGAUAUACGGAGGAACACCAGUGGCGAAGGCGGAUUGCUGGACAGUAACUGACGCUGAGGCGCGAAAGCGUGGGGAGCAAACAGGAUUAGAUACCCUUGUA
rnacentral:rRNA from 1 species